rfam:Loxodonta africana unplaced genomic scaffold scaffold_9, whole genome shotgun sequence.
GCAUUGGUGAUUCAGUGACAGAAUUCUCACCUUCCAUGCAGGAGAUUCAGGUUCGAUUCCCGGCCAAUGCA